CACAUUUAAUUCAUUUUGUCAUUCACCAAACUUUGACCCAAGCAAGCUUAACCCUAAUCUAUAUUAUUUCUUAAUAUUGUGCCGUUGAUGGCGUUGAGGACAGCACAACAUUAAGAAAUAACAAUACAUCACAAACUUUCUUCAUUUUUAAACAUAAUAUAUACAACACACAACAGGAUAAUAAUAUAAAAGAAAAUGCACAGUACAGUGAAAUGGCUCGACUAGAUUUUACAGUGAGCUCGAGCAGAGUAAAAAUAAUCGGGUUGGGCUUGAAGGAGGGGAUCAGGUUACCAAGUGGGAUCGCGAGAGCUAGGGCAGAGGAUCGGUGUGUGGAGGGCGAAUUUUACGUCCGAACCUACAACCGUCGGGCGUCACAUCGCCGUACACGUCGGCGUCGGGCGACAUGACGGUUGGCCGUAAUACUUUUUCGUGCGUGGGAGGCGCGGCAACGAGGCGAUAGGGUCUGCACGGAGGGAGCCGUGCCAGUGGGAAGCUAGGGCAAUGCCAGAAGGAGACUUGUAACGACGGUACGGAAGAAAUGGUCGCAACAACCAAUUUUUUGGUGCGGAAAUCAGAGCAAAAAAAGACAGAGAAGAGGCAGGUCAGCGCGUUAGUGCAACGUCGGUGAAGGGGAACUCGAGCGCAGAGUUUCAAUAUGAGGAGGAAGAAGGGUCGGUGAGGGCUUCCCUUAUUUGUUUCACGUGAAUAGGGGAAGAGGAAGAUCGGGCUUAGGAGGAACGUCAGGGUUCAGGCUCACGAGAACAAAGCAGAGUUGUGAGGACUACGACAACGGAGAGGGAGAACAAUAAAGGGGUUCCGCUACUGAAUCGCGGUAUAGAAAGUGGAGGACCGAGCGGCUCCAUGCGAUCUCGAACUAAGAGGAAGAGACCCCGUUUGGGGCGGUGUUCGGCGCGGCUUUAAGCCGCGAAAAUCCGUCCUUUGAGGCAGCGGUAUUACUACGUCGAGGGGCAUUUUUAAGUAAAACGUGGAUCGCAUAUACAUUACCCGCUUGCCCCUCCGCCCAGCCCUUUCUCUGCGAUUGCUCGCUUCAUCGUCUGCCCUAACAUUCCUCUGCGAUCUCUAGCUUCUUCUGUCGUAACCUCUCGUUCUGGAAUCCGCUAGUGUGAUAUUGUGAUACUGAUAUACAUGGAUGCAACUAGAGAAAGACAAAGAAUGAGAGUUGCAACUGUCAUAUGCAUGAUGUACGAGUAUUACAACUCCUACAUAAAUUGCUACCCUGCAUGAAAGCCUCAUAUGUUUGGGACAAAUGGGUUCUGGAGUUGUUUGCGGGGCACCCAACAAGAUUCAACAAUAUAUUAUGUAUGAUACAAGAGGUAUUCAACAAUAUGUUAGAGGAACUACACGAGAAUCAUGGAUUUCAUGGCUCUUCAAGAACAACUUUGCGAAAGGUGUUGACGAUAACCCUUUACGUAUUAUUCCAGAAUAAAUCAAUGUGAGACGCAAUGGAGUGAUUUCAGCACUCCUCUGAGACAAUAUGUAGAUACUUCUAAAUGGGGUUGAAGGCACUUAUUGAGUUUUUCAGCACAAGUUAUAAAGCCAACAGAGCCAACUUUCGAACUGACCCUCAUAGAUUUUGACACGAUGCACGGUACAUGUCAUUAUUUAAGAAUUGGAGCAAUCGAUGAAACAUAUGUUGAUGCACAAGUUUCAAAUAAUGAGAAGAUCGCAUUCAUCGGCCGUUGCGGGUCCCCAACGCAUAAUGCAUGGUUGUGUGAGAGUUCAACAUGUGUUUCACUUUUGUCAUGACCGGUUGGGAGGGCAAUGCACAUGCCAGUAGAAUUUUGAAAGCUGCAACGCGGAAUAAUAAGUACAACUUCUCACAUCCUCCUGUAGCUACGCUUGAGACUUGACUACUUUCGUAAUUCAACUUUACCUCAAAACUAGUUAUGAAGUGCAUAUUAGAUAAAUAUUACUUAGUUGAUGUUGAAUAUUUGUUGCAACGAGAGUAUCUCAAGCUCUAUCAUAAUAUGAGAUAUCACAUACCUGACUUUGAACCAGUAAGCAAUGUAACAUGAGGUAGAAAAUAAAUGCUCAAUAAAAAAUAUUUCUCCUUACGCGUUGUCAUUGAGAAGACUUUCGAUAUUUUGAAGAAUAAAUGAGUUAUACUGCGCGAUAUGUCAUCUUACACGUGUUCCAAACAAGUGCAGAUUUUGAUUGUCACAAUAACGCUCACAAUUUCAUUCAGCGUAAUCCUUCCUACAACGACAUCAACUUCCGACGGGCGGACAAAGAUUAUGAGCAUGUACAUGUCAAAGCAUUUGAGUAUCGUCUUGGGCAUUUUUUAUUACAGCAUGAGAAUGAUACUUCUACCACAUGUACUGCAGACGGGAAAGGUGCAUGUGAUAUGACAUAGUUGAGAGAGCAAAUUACUUGUGUGAUAGUAGGAGGGUGAUUGGAGUAUUUAUUAUUUUAUUAUUU